rnacentral:tRNA from 1 species
AGGAAAUUAGUUUGACCAAGACAGUUGAUUUCGGCUCAACAGACCAUAGUUUAUCCUAUGAUUUCCUC